UAAAUUUGCAAUAUAUGUUAC
rnacentral:piRNA from 1 species